rnacentral:rRNA from 1 species
CCUACGGGUGGCAGCAGUGAGGAAUAUUGGUCAAUGGCCGGAAGGCUGAACCAGCCAUGCCGCGUGAAGGUCAGUGCCCUAUGGGCGUUAAACUUCUUUUGUUCGGGGGCAAUAAUGGUCACGGUUGGCCAGACUAGAGUACCCUUCGAAUAAGCAUCGGCUAACUCCGUUCCAGCCGCCGCGGUAAUACGGGGGAUGCAAGCGUUUUCCGGAUUUUUUGGGUUUAAAGGGUGCGUAGGCUGGGAGGUUAGUUAUCGGUGAAAAGCCCCGGCUCAACGGGGUGAAGUGCCAUUGAUACUGCCGUGCUGGAAUGUGGAUGCGGUAGGCGGAAUGUGUGGUGUAGCGGUGAAAUGCAUAGAUAUCACACAGAACACCGAUUGCGAAGGCAUCUCACGAAUCCGCGAUUGACGCUGAUGCACGAAAGCGUGGGUAUCAAACAGGAUUAGAUACCCCAGUAGUC